UUAUAAGAGACAGCAGUCGCCGCGGUAAUACGAAGGGUGCAAGCGUUAAUCGGAAUUACUGGGCGUAAAGCGUGCGUAGGCGGUUUGUUAAGUCUGCUGUGAAAUCCCCGGGCUCAACCCGGGAAUGGCAAUGGAUACUGGCGAGCUAGAGUGUGUCAGAGGAUGGUGGAAUUCCCGGUGUAGCGGUGAAAUGCGUAGAGAUCGGGAGGAACAUCAGUGGCGAAGGCGGCCAUCUGGGACAACACUGACGCUGAGGCACGAAAGCGUGGGGAGCAAACAGGAUUAGAUACCCCGGUAGUCCCUGUCUCUUAUAC
rnacentral:rRNA from 1 species